rnacentral:lncRNA from 1 species
UUUUAGCUUAGUGCUACCAGUUAGUCACCAAACACGCGUUCUAAGUUAAGGUCGAUCCUGGCCUUAUCCUUGGCGGAUUAUGUUAUCCUUCCACGAAUUUUAGUGUAUUUUCAUACUUCGUCGUGAAUUACUCAAGCUUUAGUGGAUUUUUACCUUUGUUAGUUCGUGAAACGUAAGAAAUAGUGUGAAUGUUCAUCCUUCAUCGUUCUGUGAUUUACACGAAAUUUAGUGGUUUCAACUAUCGGUGAUUUUUGAAUUCACCAAGAAUUGUGUGAAAUUUUAUACCUCAUCGUUCUGGGAAUCAAUCAACAAUUUUUGUUAAUUCUUAUUCGUCGACGAUUUGUGAUUUAACAAUAUUUUCCCUGAGAUUUACUUGAUUUCCGGGAUUAGUGUAGAGAGAAAUGCAUUCAAAUUGAAUGAGAGGUCUACAUGAAGCUGAUAGAUCAUGAACAGCAUUCAAUAAAACGUGACAGAACAAUCAUUUACAAGCAGUCAUUUGUUGAAUGUAAUAGUUAGCCGAACUCUUCCAAUAUUGCUAAACCGUAUUCAGUCAAACAUAAUAAGUUGAAGAAGACAAAACAAAAUGAGCUGUUUGACGGGUUUGUGAACUUUUGAUGGUUCUUGAAACUAGUGAAUUAAGAGUAGUUCUUACCUUCAGUAAGUUGUCAAUAGUGAUCAGUGAUAAUUGACUAAACUAAAUCAGUUAUUUGUGACAAUGUUGAUAAGUGGAACAGUGAGAUGGCGCUACAGCAACAAGUUUGGUUGCUACUACUAGGCAUCGUAACAAGUCUCGACUGAUAUUGAACUCCUGAAAACGACACAGGAUUUGUCGUGAUAGUGUUGUUGGUGUUGAAAUUUUGGGAUGUUACUACUACGCGACAUAACUAGUUUCGGCUGAGAUUGAACGGCUGAAAACGAUACAGAAUUUUUGUGAGUGAAAGAACCAAGUGUUACAAUGAGUGUGGAAAGUGAGCGAGCAUUUUCGCCGCCCCGAUCGCCGAAAGCAGGCCGCGUGGCGCGAAUUAUGAGUGACGUCAGCUCGGAUCAGCUGAUGGGUUCCUCUCUGGAGGUGCCCUCGCCGGAGAAAGGGGGGCCCCGGCGCAGUUCGCUCUACAACUUGCGGGUGAUUUGCGACCGGGUGCACCGGUUGGCCGGAUAUGGAUUUUCCAGUGCCCUCACGUCGCCUACAGGUGAGAUUUCCACCGGAUAUGGCGUUGAAAUUUGUGUAAAUUCUUGUAGAAUUGUAUAUUUAAUGUUCAACGGAUCUAUAUUAUGACAAAACGGUAUAAUUGCUGAGUCGUAUAAUUAUUAAUGUUCAAUGGUUCUGUAAUAUUACAGAUAUUACUAAAAAUUGAAUGAGAAUAAAUAUAACAGAACCGUAUAAUAAAUGCUCAGUGGUUCUGUAAUAUGACAGAACCGUAUAAAUUGUUAAAUCGUUCAAUGUUAUAUGGUAUUGUAAUGUGACAGCUGUUAGGUUGGGUGCUACUACCACGUGAGUAACAUGACUAUAGUUGAAUUAAAAAGAUCUUCCAUCUUGGAGGGAUAUGCUUAGCUGAGUAAAGUAGGGAUACUGCGGUUGCGAUGUUGCCGUGCUAGAGAGGACCGCGUUCUGUUCAGAGAGUAUAGAAUUAAUAUAUUUAUAUAGAAUGUGUUCGUUCUAUACUCUCUGGUUCUGUAGUCUUAAGUGAGUGUUCAACACCUCAUAAUACACAUACCUAGUUUCCCCCUCUAUGAAAGUACAGCAUCGACUGAGUCUGUUUUGUCAACUUAGCAAACGGGCUUGUCUCGGACUUAAUCACUAUAACUGGCUGUCCUCUAUCUCUCUUCAUCUCUCUGAUCCGUAUAUCCCUCCAAGUCAUCAAUUUUUUAAUUAAUCCAUAUAGUUACGGGAGUGAUUUAGUCUGAAAAAUGAUACUUCUAAGUCAUUAAACUUCAAUCUAUUUAAAGUCGGUCGAUAAAUACUGGACAAUGAUUUAUAAAGCAUUUCAUUUCAAUUCUAUCCAAUGUACUUUUAUACUCUAUGAAUUCUUUAUAUUGAAUGAAAUAUUGUGGAAUAGCAAUCUAGUUAGUAGAGUGAUAAUUCCAUCUAUGAUCUCAUCAAUAUUUAUAAUCUCAUCAAUACUCUUUAACAAUCCUGUGUUUAUAAAUUCAGGCAUUAUCUCGAAUAAUUGAGAAGAUGGCCUUCUUGACCAGUGGUAGGUUAUACAUUGAAAAGUCAACAUCCGAGCUGACCCCUGACCUGUUAGUAGCAUUCACCUUUUUACACUUUGCGAAUAAAGCAAUUAUCGUUGCUGUAUUUAAGCGACAUACGAAAUCUUAUUCAAAUGUCCUUCUUCCUUAUUUGGCGUCUGAUCGUAGAUUAUGGCCAGGAGGGAUUAUCAUGGAAUUAUGUUACCUUAUGCUUCUUUCUAGAAUUUUUAAUACAAUUAAAUGAGCUGAUGAUGAAGCUAUUGACAAGUGAGCCUAAUCUUGCAUGCAGUACUUCCAGAACAUCAAAAUUCAACUUUUAUUCAUACCAACGUAUAUUGAUAACAUAUGAACCCGGUUGCACGAAAAUGUGAUUUGAUUCACCACCGUAAAAUGACGUAAUUACAUUAAUGACAAACUCGUUCAUUGGUUGUCGUUGCCUUGGCUCUCUUAGAUGAUAUAAUAUAUUUCUGAUGAAUGAAAUGUUUCAAAUCAAUCUUUUUAAAAAAAGUGUCUCUGUCACGGUGUUAAUAAGAUGUUAAGCAGCUAAUCCAACUUUUCCAAUCACGUUGUUAGAGAGGAAAAUUGUCAGAAGCUUUUCUCGAACCAGUCGAUAAUCGUUGAGACGCGCUUACUACACCGUGAACUCAAACCCAUUAUGACGUCACAGCUACCAGUUAUGACGUCAUAGAGACAUUUUUAUUUAUAGAAGACUCUCACACCCUCUCUCUCGGUCUUAUCUUGAGCGCGCUCCGGUUAAUCUACUGGGAACUCGUUGGCUCUUGGAGGAAUGCUAAUGGUGAAAAUUUAUGACGUUGUGGUGGGUAGUAGUAGCUGGGGAAUUGAGAAUUUUCACGAGCAGAAAGAUGAAAAUCGUUUGGUGCGGUUUUUCCGGAAGAAUUCAUCCGGUGCGGUGAAGAGGAUGGAUUUUCCGGUCCGCCCACUGCUUUUCCUAACCUUUUCCACUUGCUGUUCGGUUUUCUUUCGAGCUCUAUUCUCUCUCUCUCUCUGUCUCGCUCAUCAGUCGAUCUUAAUCUUCUACACAUUAUUAAUAUUGACUCUGUAACAAUAAGGCUUCUGUUAGGGGAAGAUUAGUUAAAAGUAAAAAUAAAUGGUGAAAGAGAAUAGUAGUGGUUCACAUUUGCAGUGUGUCAUUCUGUGAAU